rnacentral:rRNA from 1 species
AUUGAACGCUGGCGGCAGGCCUAACACAUGCAAGUCGAACGAGUGGCGGACGGGUGAGUAAUGUAUGGGAAACUGCCUGAUGGAGGGGGAUAACUACUGGGAACGGUAGCUAAUAACGCAUACCAGCAGAUGUGCCCAGAUGGGGUUAGCUUGUUGGUGGGGUAUAGGCUCGCCAAGGCGACGAUCCCUAGCUGGUCUGAGAGGCUGACCAGCCACACUGGAACUGAGACACGGUCCAGACUCCUACGUGAGGCCGCAGUGGGGAAUAUUGCACAAUGGGCGCAAGCCUUAUGCAGCCAUGCCGCGUGUAUGAAGAAGGCCUUCGGGUUGUAAAGUACUUUCAGCUGGGAGGCGAAACCCGCAGAAGAAGCACCGGCUAACACCGUGCCAGCAGCCGCGGUAAUUC